rnacentral:rRNA from 1 species
UACGUAGGGGGCUAGCGUUGUCCGGAUUUAUUGGGCGUAAAGAGCGUGUAGGCGGCCAGGUAGGUCUGCUGUGAAAACUCGAGGCUCAACCUCGAGAUGUCGGCGGAAACCAUCUGGCUAGAGUCCGGAAGAGGAAAGUGGAAUUCCUGGUGUAGCGGUGAAAUGCGCAGAUAUCAGGAAGAACACCCGUGGCGAAGGCGGCUUUCUGGGACGGUACUGACGCUGAGAACGCGAAAGCGUGGGGAGCGAACAGG